rnacentral:rRNA from 1 species
UCUCCUGGAAACGGGUGGUAAUGCCGGAUGUUCCACAUGAGCGCAUGCGAGUGUGGGAAAGGCUUUUUGCGGCAUGGGAUGGGGUCGCGUCCUAUCAGCUUGUUGGUGGGGUAACGGCCUACCAAGGCGUUGACGGGUAGCCGGCCUGAGAGGGCGACCGGCCACAUUGGGACUGAGAUACGGCCCAGACUCCUACGGGAGGCAGCAGUGGGGAAUAUUGCACAAUGGGCGCAAGCCUGAUGCAGCGACGCCGCGUGCGGGAUGGAGGCCUUCGGGUUGUAAACCGCUUUUGUUCAAGGGCAAGGCACGGUUUCGGCCGUGUUGAGUGGAUUGUUCGAAUAAGCACCGGCUAACUACGUGCCAGCAGCCGCGGUAAUACGUAGGGUGCAAGCGUUAUCCGGAUUUAUUGGGCGUAAAGGGCUCGUAGGCGGUUCGUCGCGUCCGGUGUGAAAGUCCAUCGCUUAACGGUGGAUCCGCGCCGGGUACGGGCGGGCUUGAGUGCGGUAGGGGAGACUGGAAAUUCCCGGUGUAACGGUGGAAUGUGUAGAUAUCGGGAAGAACACCA